rnacentral:rRNA from 1 species
UACAGAGGUCUCAAGCGUUGUUCGGAUUCAUUGGGCGUAAAGAGCUCGUAGGCGGUUCGGUAAGUCGGAUGUGAAAUCUCCACGCUCAACGUGGAGGGGCCAUUCGAUACUGCCGUGACUCGAGUCCGGUAGGGGAGUGUGGAAUUCCCGGUGUAGCGGUGAAAUGCGCAGAGAUCGGGAGGAACACCCGUAGCGAAGGCGGCACUCUGGGCCGGUACUGACGCUGAGGAGCGAAAGCGUGGGGAGCGAACAGG